rnacentral:rRNA from 1 species
GGCCGCUGGCUUCUUAGAGGGACAAUUGGCGUUUAGCCAAUGGAAGUGAGGCAAUAACAGGUCUGUGAUGCCCUUAGAUGUUCUGGGCCGCACGCGCGCUACACUGACCGAGCCAGCGAGUUCACCCACCUUGGCCGGAAGGCCUG